UGUCCAAGGAUGGGAAGCGAACCCACAGUGUUCCGCUUACUGGGCAGAUGCCAUGUCCACUUACCAUGCCACAUCCCUGGAC